rnacentral:misc_RNA from 1 species
GGAAGCUACGGAGGACAGUUGGCCUCUACGUCAAAACGUCGUCGCUUGUGGAUGUGUGUGUAAGAGAUGGAGGCAAGUUACUGAGGAUGUAGUUGAGUCGUCUCUUCAGGCUGGGAAAAUUACUUUUCCGUCUUGCCUUAAACAGCCAGGGCCUCGGGACCCUCCUCUUCAAUGUUUCAUCAAGCGUGACAAGAAGAACGCGACCUUUUACCUAUAUCUUGCACUUUCACCCUCAUUAAUGGACCAGGGGAAGUUCCUCUUAGCAGCCCGGAGGUACAGAAAUGGUGCUCACAUUGAAUAUAUAAUAUCUCUCGACGCAGAUGAUUUGUCACAGAGAAGUAAGGCAUAUGUUGGGAAGUUAAGAUCGGACUUUCUUGGAACCAAUUUUACCAUAUAUGAUAGUCAAGCCCCACACAAUGGGGCAAGGCCAUCAAGCAGCCGGUCUUGUCGACGUUUUGCAAGUAAGCAAAUUAGUCCCCAAUUACCAGCUGGUAAUUUUGAAGUGGGAAGUGUUUCCUACAAGUUAAACCUGCUGAAGUCAAGAGGACCAAGGAGGAUGAUUUGUU